GGCGGGAUAGCCAAGGGGGAAGGCAGAGGUCUGCAAAACCUUUAUCACCGGUUCAAAUCCGGUUGCCGCCUCCA
rnacentral:tRNA from 1 species